AAGACGAGGAUAACCAUUGGAAACAGUGGCUAAGACUGGAUAGGAAGAAAUAAGGCAUCUUAUUUCUUUUAAAAGACCUAGUAAUAGGUAUACUUUAGGAGGGGCUUGCGCCAUAUUAGUUAGUUGGUAGGGUAAUGGCCUACCAAGACGAUGAUGUGUAGCUGGACUGAGAGGUUGAACAGCCACAUUGGGACUGAGACACGGCCCAAACUCCUACGGGAGGCAGCAGUAGGGAAUUUUCGGCAAUGGAGGAAACUCUGACCGAGCAACGCCGCGUGAACGAUGAAGUACUUUGGUAUGUAAAGUUCUUUUAUCAAGGAAGAAAAGCAAGUGGUGAACCAUUUGUUUGCCGGUACUUGAUGAAUAAGCCCCGGCUAAUUAUGUGCCAGCAGCCGCGGUAAGACAUAAGGGGCAAGUGUUAUCCGGAAUUAUUGGGCGUAAAGGGUGCGUAGGCGGUCUAGUAAGUCAGUGGUGUAAUGGCAACGCUCAACGUUGUCCGGCUAUUGAAACUGCUAAACUUGAGUUAGAUAGAGGCGAGUGGAAUUCCAUGUGUAGCGGUAAAAUGCGUAAAUAUAUGGAGGAACACCAGAGGCGUAGGCGGCUCGCUGGGUCUUAACUGACGCUGAGGCACGAAAGCGUGGGGAGCAAACAGGAUUAGAUACCCUGGUAGUCCACGCCGUAAACGAUGAGUACUAAGUGUCGGGUUAAACCGGUACUGAAGUUAACACAUUAAGUACUCCGCCUGAGUAGUACGUACGCAAGUAUGAAACUUAAAGGAAUUGACGGGACUCCGCACAAGCGGUGGAUCAUGUUGUUUAAUUCGAAGAUACCCGAAAAACCUUACCAGGUCUUGACAUGUUUUUGCGAAACGGUAGUAAUAUCGUGGAGGUUAUCAGAAACACAGGUGGUGCAUGGUUGUCGUCAGCUCGUGUCGUGAGAUGUUAGGUUAAGUCCUAAAACGAGCGAAACCCUUAUCGUUAGUUGCCAGCACGUUAUGGUGGGGACUUUAACGAGACUGCCAGUGAUAAACUGGAGGAAGGUGAGGAUCACGUCAAAUCAGCAUGCCCCUUAUGACCUGGGCUACAAACGUGAUACAAUGGCUGUUACAAAGGGUAGCUGAAACGCAAGUUCUUGGCCAAUCCCCAAAAACAGUCUCAGUCCGGAUUGAAGUCUGCAACUCGACUUCAUGAAGUUGGAAUCGCUAGUAAUCGCGAAUCAGCAUGUCGCGGUGAAUACGUUCUCGGGGUUUGUACACACCGCCCGUCAAACCACGAAAGUUGGCAAUACCCCAAAACGGUAGCCUAACUCGUUUAUCGAGAGGGCGCUGUCUAAGGUAGGGUCGAUGAUUGGGGUUAAGUCGUAACAAGGUAUCC
rnacentral:rRNA from 1 species